rnacentral:misc_RNA from 1 species
CGCUGAGUUCACAACAAGAACAUACUCUCAACAUGAAGCUGAUCUCGAUGGCUCUGGCCCUGGUGGUGGCCCUGGCAUGCCUGGUGAGCUGGACCAGCGCCAUGCCUCACCCUGACCCCGUAGCUGACCCUGACCCCGCGGCUGACCCUGGCUUCCGUCGCUUCGGUGGAUUGGGAUAUGGAGGAUACGGCUACGGAGGUCAUGGAUACGGGGGCUACGGCUACGGGGGAUACCGCAGGAGCUAUUAUGGUUGAAGAUAACCUUGACACAGGACUCCUACUUCCAUAUCUUGUAAUCGAUCUUGAAAAGAAUGACAAAAAUUCAUUUCCUAAUUUGCUUCUCAAAUAAACGAC